rnacentral:sRNA from 1 species
UCAUCAACCCACUAAUUUGGUCCUACCCAGCAAUGGCUCAAUGCACAACUAUUGCCCACAGCAGACUAAAAUUACUUCAGCUUUCAAAUACAUUAACACUGUGAUAUCUUGUACUAUUUUCAUCGUGGGAAUGGUGGGGAAUGCAACUCUGCUCAGGAUCAUUUACCAGAACAAAUGUAUGAGGAAUGGCCCCAACGCGCUGAUAGCCAGCCUUGCCCUUGGAGACCUUAUCUAUGUGGUCAUUGAUCUCCCUAUCAAUGUAUUUAAGGUACAGAGCAGUUGCCUCCUGGAGUCGUGUUCAGGGAAUUGGGAUUCCUUUGGUAACUGCCAUUGAAAUUGUCUCCAUCUGGAUCCUGUCCUUUAUCCUGGCCAUUCCUGAAGCGAUUGGCUUCGUCAUGGUACCCUUUGAAUAUAGGGGUGAA